GGUUAAUUUUACAUAAGAAUACAUUGCAAUUUGUAAGUAUAUAUUGUUACAUUUUUUUUUUUGUUUUUUUUUUCUAAACAUACAAUAUAAAAUAUUUUAUUACAAUUAAUAUAUAUUUAUUUAAAAAACGAAAACAUUACAAAAUAUUACACUCCUAAAAAGUAUACAGUAAUUUGUACUACAAAAAUAGAAAUAAUAAAAUUAUACAGCACAUGGGAUGUGUUAAAUUAUUGGGACUUCUUAAAUUGUAUUUCGUACGUCUUCACUUUCAGAACAUUGGCAUCAGCAAUUCACGAACAGUGUACACCAAACUCUUGUUUUCCAUAAACGAGUUAGUCGCCUUAGGUAGCUUAAUUUUUUCACGGUUUUGCUGUCUGAAAUUGUUUAUAUGAUAAGUUUUUAGUCUCAAAAAGUUAUUGUUAGUUUUUAUAACUUAAAUACAUAAUUUAUUAUUAAAAUACAUUUUAUUGAAAUUAUUGAAAUACAAUAUACGGUUUUUCGCAUUUAUAGACCUUCUACUACUAUUGGCGACGUAUUGUUUAUUAUCUUACUAUUGAUUCAAUUAUUAAUAAAAU